rnacentral:rRNA from 1 species
AUUGAACGCUGGCGGCAGGCUUAACACAUGCAAGUCGAGCGGAGAUGAGGUGCUUGCACCUUAUCUUAGCGGCGGACGGGUGAGUAAUGCUUAGGAAUCUGCCUAUUAGUGGGGGACAACAUUCCGAAAGGAAUGCUAAUACCGCAUACGCCCUACGGGGGAAAGCAGGGGAUCUUCGGACCUUGCGCUAAUAGAUGAGCCUAAGUCGGAUUAGCUCGGUGGUGGGGUAAAGGCCUACCAAGGCGACGAUCUGUAGCGGGUCUGAGAGGAUGGGACGCCACACUGGGACUGAGAGACGGCCCAGACUCCUACGGGAGGGAGCAGUGGGGAAUAUUGGACAAUGGGCGGAAGCGUGAUCCAGCCAUGCCGCGUGUGUGAAGAAGGCCUUUUGGUUGUAAAGCACUUUAAGCGAGGAGGAGGCUACCUGGAUUAAUACUCUAGGAUAGUGGACGUUACUCGCAGAAUAAGCACCGGCUAACUCUGUGCCAGCCGCCGCGGUAAGAC